rnacentral:rRNA from 1 species
GCUGAGACACGAUGCGGAUAAAAAGUGGGUGAUCCUAUGCUGCCAAGAAAAGCAUCGACGCGAGGUUCUAGCCGCCCGUACCCCAAACCGACUCAGGUGGUCAGGUAGAGAAUACCAAGGAGAUCGAGAGAAUCGUGGUUAAGGAACUCGGCAAAAUGCCCCCGUAACUUCGGGAGAAGGGGGGCCAUCCACUUAUUAGGACUUGCUCCGAAAGGGUGUGGUGGCCGCAGAGACUAGUGGGUAGCGACUGUUUAUUAAAAACACAGGUCCGUGCCAAGUCGCAAGACGAUGUAUACGGACUGACGCCUGCCCGGUGCUGGAAGGUUAAGAGGACCGGUUAGCCGCAAGGCGAAGCUGAGAAUUUAAGCCCCAGUAAACGGCGGUGGUAACUAUAACCAUCCUAAGGUAGCGAAAUUCCUUGUCGGGUAAGUUCCGACCUGCACGAAUGGCGUAACGACUUCCCAACUGUCUCAACCGCGAACUCGGCGAAAUUGCACUACGAGUAAAGAUGCUCGUUACGCGCAGCAGGACGGAAAGACCCCGUGACCUUUACUACAGCUUGGUAUUGGUGUUCGGUGUGGCUUGUGUAGGAUAGGUGGGAGACUGUGAAGCGGUGACGCCAGUUACCGCGGAGUCAUUGUUGAAAUACCACUCUGGUCACUCUGGAUAUCUAACUUCGAACCGUAAUCCGGUUCAGGGACAGUGCCUGGUGGGUAGUUUAACUGGGGCGGUUGCCUCCCAAAAAGUAACGGAGGCGCCCAAAGGUUCCCUCAACCUGGUUGGCAAUCAGGUGGCGAGUGUAAGUGCACAAGGGAGCUUGACUGUGAGACUGACAGGUCGAGCAGGGACGAAAGUCGGGACUAGUGAUCCGGCAGUGGCUUGUGGAAGCGCUGUCGCUCAACGGAUAAAAGGUACCUCGGGGAUAACAGGCUGAUCUUGCCCAAGAGUCCAUAUCGACGGCAUGGUUUGGCACCUCGAUGUCGGCUCGUCGCAUCCUGGGGCUGGAGUAGGUCCCAAGGGUUGGGCUGUUCGCCCAUUAAAGCGGUACGCGAGCUGGGUUUAGAACGUCGUGAGACAGUUCGGUCCCUAUCCGCUGCGCGCGUAGGAAAUUUGAGAGGAUCUGACCCUAGUACGAGAGGACCGGGUUGGACGAACCUCUGGUGUGCCAGUUGUUCUGCCAAGAGCACCGCUGGUUAGCUACGUUCGGGAUGGAUAACCGCUGAAAGCAUCUAAGCGGGAAGCCGGCCUCAAGAUGAGAUUUCCAUGCCUUCGGGCGAGAGGCUCCCAGCCAGACUACUGGGUUGAUAGGCCGGAUGUGGAAGCGCGGUAACGCGUGAAGCUGACCGGUACUAAUAAGCCGAUGACUC